CCUCUGCCGAGUUUGCCCAUGAUAUACUCGCAGCAUGGUCGUCACAAGGUCGUAGGAGGUCGUAGAUAGGUUGAGAUGCUAGUCGUGGAUACUCGAGGCAUCAAGCAGGUCGGGGCGUUUAUUCAACAUGAUGAAAAAUGUCCACGAGUAAAAAAGGUCAUUAAUUAGGUCCUGGAAGCGGUACAGGCCCUUUACUACACCCCAUUGA